rnacentral:rRNA from 1 species
UUAAGCGACUAAGCGUACACGGUGGAUGCCCUGGCAGUCAGAGGCGAUGAAGGACGUGCUAAUCUGCGAUAAGCGUCGGUAAGGUGAUAUGAACCGUUAUAACCGGCGAUUUCCGAAUGGGGAAACCCAGUGUGAUUCGUCACACUAUCAUUAACUGAAUCCAUAGGUUAAUGAGGCGAACCGGGGGAACUGAAACAUCUAAGUACCCCGAGGAAAAGAAAUCAACCGAGAUUCCCCCAGUAGCGGCGAGCGAACGGGGAGGAGCCCAGAGCCUGAAUCAGUGUGUGUGUUAGUGGAAGCGUCUGGAAAGGCGCGCGAUACAGGGUGACAGCCCCGUACACAAAAAUGCACAUGCUGUGAGCUCGAUGAGUAGGGCGGGACACGUGGUAUCCUGUCUGAAUAUGGGGGGACCAUCCUCCAAGGCUAAAUACUCCUGACUGACCGAUAGUGAACCAGUACCGUGAGGGAAAGGCGAAAAGAACCCCGGCGAGGGGAGUGAAAAAGAACCUGAAACCGUGUACGUACAAGCAGUGGGAGCACAGAGCAAUCUGUGUGACUGCGUACCUUUUGUAUAAUGGGUCAGCGACUUAUAUUCUGUAGCAAGGUUAACCGAAUAGGGGAGCCGAAGGGAAACCGAGUCUUAACUGGGCGUUAAGUUGCAGGGUAUAGACCCGAAACCCGGUGAUCUAGCCAUGGGCAGGUUGAAGGUUGGGUAACACUAACUGGAGGACCGAACCGACUAAUGUUGAAAAAUUAGCGGAUGACUUGUGGCUGGGGGUGAAAGGCCAAUCAAACCGGGAGAUAGCUGGUUCUCCCCGAAAGCUAUUUAGGUAGCGCCUCGUGAAUUCAUCUCCGGGGGUAGAGCACUGUUUCGGCAAGGGGGUCAUCCCGACUUACCAACCCGAUGCAAACUGCGAAUACCGGAGAAUGUUAUCACGGGAGACACACGGCGGGUGCUAACGUCCGUCGUGAAGAGGGAAACAACCCAGACCGCCAGCUAAGGUCCCAAAGUCAUGGUUAAGUGGGAAACGAUGUGGGAAGGCCCAGACAGCCAGGAUGUUGGCUUAGAAGCAGCCAUCAUUUAAAGAAAGCGUAAUAGCUCACUGGUCGAGUCGGCCUGCGCGGAAGAUGUAACGGGGCUAAACCAUGCACCGAAGCUGCGGCAGCGACGCUGAUGCGUUGUUGGGUAGGGGAGCGUUCUGUAAGCCUGUGAAGGUGUGCUGUGAGGCAUGCUGGAGGUAUCAGAAGUGCGAAUGCUGACAUAAGUAACGAUAAAGCGGGUGAAAAGCCCGCUCGCCGGAAGACCAAGGGUUCCUGUCCAACGUUAAUCGGGGCAGGGUGAGUCGACCCCUAAGGCGAGGCCGAAAGGCGUAGUCGAUGGGAAACAGGUUAAUAUUCCUGUACUUGGUGUUACUGCGAAGGGGGGACGGAGAAGGCUAUGUUGGCCGGGCGACGGUUGUCCCGGUUUAAGCGUGUAGGCUGGUUUUCCAGGCAAAUCCGGAAAACUAAGGCUGAGGCGUGAUGACGAGGCACUACGGUGCUGAAGCAACAAAUGCCCUGCUUCCAGGAAAAGCCUCUAAGCAUCAGGUAACAUCAAAUCGUACCCCAAACCGACACAGGUGGUCAGGUAGAGAAUACCAAGGCGCUUGAGAGAACUCGGGUGAAGGAACUAGGCAAAAUGGUGCCGUAACUUCGGGAGAAGGCACGCUGAUAUGUAGGUGAAGUCCCUCGCGGAUGGAGCUGAAAUCAGUCGAAGAUACCAGCUGGCUGCAACUGUUUAUUAAAAACACAGCACUGUGCAAACACGAAAGUGGACGUAUACGGUGUGACGCCUGCCCGGUGCCGGAAGGUUAAUUGAUGGGGUCAGCGCAAGCGAAGCUCUUGAUCGAAGCCCCGGUAAACGGCGGCCGUAACUAUAACGGUCCUAAGGUAGCGAAAUUCCUUGUCGGGUAAGUUCCGACCUGCACGAAUGGCGUAAUGAUGGCCAGGCUGUCUCCACCCGAGACUCAGUGAAAUUGAACUCGCUGUGAAGAUGCAGUGUACCCGCGGCAAGACGGAAAGACCCCGUGAACCUUUACUAUAGCUUGACACUGAACAUUGAGCCUUGAUGUGUAGGAUAGGUGGGAGGCUUUGAAGUGUGGACGCCAGUCUGCAUGGAGCCGACCUUGAAAUACCACCCUUUAAUGUUUGAUGUUCUAACGUUGACCCGUAAUCCGGGUUGCGGACAGUGUCUGGUGGGUAGUUUGACUGGGGCGGUCUCCUCCUAAAGAGUAACGGAGGAGCACGAAGGUUGGCUAAUCCUGGUCGGACAUCAGGAGGUUAGUGCAAUGGCAUAAGCCAGCUUGACUGCGAGCGUGACGGCGCGAGCAGGUGCGAAAGCAGGUCAUAGUGAUCCGGUGGUUCUGAAUGGAAGGGCCAUCGCUCAACGGAUAAAAGGUACUCCGGGGAUAACAGGCUGAUACCGCCCAAGAGUUCAUAUCGACGGCGGUGUUUGGCACCUCGAUGUCGGCUCAUCACAUCCUGGGGCUGAAGUAGGUCCCAAGGGUAUGGCUGUUCGCCAUUUAAAGUGGUACGCGAGCUGGGUUUAGAACGUCGUGAGACAGUUCGGUCCCUAUCUGCCGUGGGCGCUGGAGAACUGAGGGGGGCUGCUCCUAGUACGAGAGGACCGGAGUGGACGCAUCACUGGUGUUCGGGUUGUCAUGCCAAUGGCACUGCCCGGUAGCUAAAUGCGGAAGAGAUAAGUGCUGAAAGCAUCUAAGCACGAAACUUGCCCCGAGAUGAGUUCUCCCUGACUCCUUGAGAGUCCUGAAGGAACGUUGAAGACGACGACGUUGAUAGGCCGGGUGUGUAAGCGCAGCGAUGCGUUGAGCUAACCGGUACUAAUGAACCGUGAGGCUUAACCUU